rnacentral:rRNA from 1 species
ACGGAGGGGGCUAGCGUUGUUCGGAAUUACUGGGCGUAAAGUGUGCGCAGGCGGCGUCGCAAGUCGAGUGUGAAAGCCCCGAGCUUAACUUGGGAAUUGCGCUCGAAACUACGAUGCUGGAGUGUGGCAGAGGAAGGUGGAAUUCCACGUGUAGCGGUGAAAUGCGUAGAGAUGCGGAGGAACACCGAUGGCGAAGGCAGCCCCCUGGGCUAACACUGACGCUCAGGCACGAAAGCGUGGGGAGCAAACAGGA